AAAAAACAGGCUCAGAGGGAGAUGGUACUUGCACAAAGCCACAUAGCAGGCGUGGAUAGAGUCCAGCUUGACAUCCAUGCCCCUCUAAUAACCAAAGUCUGGGCCCUUAAGUCAACGUGAUUCUACCUAUUUUGUCUGUAGACAGCAUGGGGUGUGGAAAAGACCCAUGGUGUUGCCCACUGGACUGAACCAAAGUGAUAACACCUGCUUGAAAGUUGGCAGUUUGGACCACAGGGCUUGCAGAUAAUACAGUUAGGACUUUGUGUCUGGCCCCGAGUUUCUGCCCAGGUGGUGCUACUGAGUCUUCCUUUCUCAGUCUCAGUGCUCGCAGUGGUGAAGCCACCCCUCUGCUCAGGUUUCUUCGUCCGCUUGGCAGCUCCGACAGUGACUCCUUGUGGACUCCACCUGUGGCAUGGGCGCCCUGCAGCCUUCUCUGUGCAGCACUCUGUCCAUACGGGACUCCUGGUCUCCUGAAGUCUCAGUCAGCCCUUCCCACACCCAUUACUCUGGAUUCCUCCAGAGGAUGACAGACUCCUGAUGGCCAUAUUGUAGAUGCAGGAGACGCCCUAUCAGCCAGCUCUGAGACCUUGUGAUGGAACUCCUUUGAUUCUUGAGUUUCUUAACUUUAAGAAGGGAAUGAGUACUUAAUGUUACAUUGUGGGUUUAAGUAAGAAUGUCAAUUAAAUGUCCAACAUUGUACCGCCCCAUAUCACAUCAGCUCAAAAUUUGUAGCUGCUAUCAGUCUGCAGUGGAAAACUGAAAAAUCUGUGUCCUGGAGUAGAUAAACAGAGGAAAGGUGGGCAGCUGAGGGAGAGAGAAGUCAUGGGGAUAAGAGAGCAGUAAAAGGCACUGUCGUGGAAGUCAAAAAUAGAAGGCGUUUUCUGAGAGUACUGCCUCCUGAUGGACAUUCAAGAGUCACUGUCUUGUAUUUGGCAAACAGAUGCAGGGGGUUUUCAAGACUUGUUUCUGUGAAGCAGUAGGGGAUACAGACAGAUGACAGAGAAAUAGAGCAAGGUCUUAAGAAAAUACAAGUAGUGCUGAGGCCUCUUUAUGAAGUGUGGCAGGAAAAGAAAUCAGAGGAGGCAGCAAUCCAACUGCAGUGGGUUUUGUCAAGUGUAAGAUUGAUAAAUACUCACUGAGUAUUUAUUGGGGGCUGAGAGAGCAACUGAGAGAGUGAAGAUGCUUGCGGUUUGAUUAAAUGUGUUGGAUGAUACUGACAUUGUUUAGUCUGUGCCAUUAUAUGCUUUUUUGGUACUACUGCUGGGAGAAAAUUUGCAAGGAUUACACAGUAUUUUUAACCCUGCUUAUCUUUACUAAGAGCAUUAGGUAAAAAAAAAAAAUCCUUUCUGCCCAAAUUAAUCUGGCAAAUUUCCCAGGGACUUUCCAGGUGGUCCAGUGGUUAAAGAUGUGUAGAGGUAUAGAGGGCGUGUGUUCGAUCCUUGGUUGGGAAACUAAGAUUCCACAUGCCGCGCAGCAUGGCGCAAAAAAAUAAACCACAAGCUCCCUGUUGGCGCUGCUGUUUGUACUGCUGGGCAUCAGUUCAAUGAGCCACUCUUUGGGUAACAAAACCAUCAACAUAUCUGACCCUGGUUUGCCCAUACCCAUCACUAUGGCAUUUUGGAGGGAUACCUGAGAUAUUCUUGGUAUCUGUUUGGUCCUAGCAUUGGUCUCCAACCUGUCACCUGCCCCCCGGGCACUACCAGCCCUCUCCAGGAAAAUGCAAUAAAUAAAAACUCAGUAAUAACAGUUGCUUAGAAUCUUGAAUUCACAGCUUCAAGGUACCUUCAGGGUAUUUCCCCCCUCAAUUGGCUUUGAGGGGGGAAAACGGUUUUUCUUCAUUUUUGGAUUACAGAAUUCUUUUUAUUUUUUUUUUUAAUCUUCAGGGUUUGGCACAAACCCACUUUUGUUGAUCUGGUAUUUCCUCUAUGGAUCAACUUUCUGGCUCUGGAAAAAGCCUCCUUCUUUUAUGAGGCACUUUUAACCUGCA
ensembl:lncRNA